rnacentral:snRNA from 17 species
UCUCUUGUGCUCGGGCAUGUACUGUCGCCAGUGAGGUCUUUACCGAGGCACAGUCUUUUGCUGAUUGCAAAUUACACAUCCGAACCCGUCUGUUAGCUUCGGCUUUCAGCAAUUUUUGAAAACCCUUUUCUGCAGUGAAGCUUUUACAAAUUAGCUGAGCAGGA